rnacentral:rRNA from 1 species
UUGGCCGGGCGACGGUUGUCCCGGUUUAAGCGUGUAGGUGUGUGUUCCAGGUAAAUCCGGUUCACUUUAACACUGAGGCGUGACGACGAGGCACUACGGUGCUGAAGCAACAAAUGCCCUGCUUCCAGGAAAAGCCUCUAAGCAUCAGGUAACAUCAAAUCGUACCCCAAACCGACACAGGUGGUCAGGUAGAGAAUACCAAGGCGCUUGAGAGAACUCGGGUGAAGGAACUAGGCAAAAUGGUGCCGUAACUUCGGGAGAAGGCACGCUGACACGUAGGUGAAGUGAUUUACUCAUGGAGCUGAAGUCAGUCGAAGAUACCAGCUGGCUGCAACUGUUUAUUAAAAACACAGCACUGUGCAAACACGAAAGUGGACGUAUACGGUGUGACGCCUGCCCGGUGCCGGAAGGUUAAUUGAUGGGGUCAGCGCAAGCGAAGCUCCUGAUCGAAGCCCCGGUAAACGGCGGCCGUAACUAUAACGGUCCUAAGGUAGCGAAAUUCCUUGUCGGGUAAGUUCCGACCUGCACGAAUGGCGUAAUGAUGGCCAGGCUGUCUCCACCCGAGACUCAGUGAAAUUGAACUCGCUGUGAAGAUGCAGUGUACCCGCGGCAAGACGGAAAGACCCCGUGAACCUUUACUAUAGCUUGACACUGAACAUUGAGCCUUGAUGUGUAGGAUAGGUGGGAGGCUUUGAAGUGUGGACGCCAGUCUGCAUGGAGCCGACCUUGAAAUACCACCCUUUAAUGUUUGAUGUUCUAACGUGGACCCGUUACCCGGGUUGCGGACAGUGUCUGGUGGGUAGUUUGACUGGGGCGGUCUCCUCCUAAAGAGUAACGGAGGAGCACGAAGGUUGGCUAAUCCUGGUCGGACAUCAGGAGGUUAGUGCAAUGGCAUAAGCCAGCUUGACUGCGAGCGUGACGGCGCGAGCAGGUGCGAAAGCAGGUCAUAGUGAUCCGGUGGUUCUGAAUGGAAGGGCCAUCGCUCAACGGAUAAAAGGUACUCCGGGGAUAACAGGCUGAUACCGCCCAAGAGUUCAUAUCGACGGCGGUGUUUGGCACCUCGAUGUCGGCUCAUCACAUCCUGGGGCUGAAGUAGGUCCCAAGGGUAUGGCUGUUCGCCAUUUAAAGUGGUACGCGAGCUGGGUUUAGAACGUCGUGAGACAGUUCGGUCCCUAUCUGCCGUGGGCGCUGGAGAACUGAGGGGGGCUGCUCCUA